ACGAACGCUGGCGGCAGGCCUAACACAUGCCAGUCGAGCGAGCAUUUCGGUGCUAGCGGCGGACGGGUGAGUAACGCGUGGGAACGUGCCCUUUUCUGCGGAAUAGUCCUGGGAAACUGGGGGUAAUACCGCAUACGCCCUUUUGGGGAAAGAUUUAUCGGAGAAGGAUCGGCCCGCGUUGGAUUAGGUAGUUGGUGGGGUAAUGGCCCACCAAGCCGACGAUCCAUAGCUGGUUUGAGAGGAUGAUCAGCCACACUGGGACUGAGACACGGCCCAGACUCCUACGGGAGGCAGCAGUGGGGAAUCUUAGACAAUGGGGGCAACCCUGAUCGAGCCAUGCCGCGUGAGUGAUGAAGGCCUUAGGGUUGUAAAGCUCUUUCAGCUGGGAAGAUAAUGACGGUACCAGCAGAAGAAGCCCCGGCUAACUCCGUG
rnacentral:rRNA from 1 species